rnacentral:rRNA from 1 species
UACGUAGGGGGCAAGCGUUGUCCGGAAUCAUUGGGCGUAAAGAGCGUGUAGGCGGCUCGAUAAGUCUGCUGUGAAAGUCCAGGGCUCAACCCUGGAAGGCCGGUGGAAACUGUCGGGCUAGAGUCCGGAAGAGGCGAGUGGAAUUCCCGGUGUAGCGGUGAAAUGCGCAGAUAUCGGGAGGAACACCAAUGGCGAAGGCAGCUCGCUGGGACGGUACUGACGCUGAGGCACGAAAGCUAGGGGAGCAAACAGG